rnacentral:rRNA from 1 species
GACGAACGCUGGCGGCGUGCUUAACACAUGCAAGUCGAACGGAAAGGCCCUGCUUUGGUGGGGUGCUCGAGUGGCGAACGGGUGAGUAACACGUGAGUAACCUGCCCUUGACUUUGGGAUAACUUCAGGAAACUGGGGCUAAUACCGGAUAGGAGCUCCUGCUGCAUGGUGGGGGUUUGAAAGGUUCGGCGGUUGGGGAUGGACUCGCGGCUUAUCAGCUUGUUGGUGGGGUAGUGGCUUACCAAGGCUUUGACGGGUAGCCGGCCUGAGAGGGUGACCGGCCACAUUGGGACUGAGACACGGCCCAGACUCCUACGGGAGGCAGCAGUGGGGAAUAUUGCACAAUGGGCGGAAGCCUGAUGCAGCAACGCCGCGUGCGGGAUGACGGCCUUCGGGUUGUAAACCGCUUUCGCCUGUGACGAAGCGUGAGUGACGGUAAUGGGUAAAGAAGCACCGGCUAACUACGUG